CCUACGGGUGGCAGCAGUGGGGAAUAUUGGGCAAUGGGCGCAAGCCUGACCCAGCAACGCCGCGUGAGGGAAGAAGGCUUUCGGGUUGUAAACUUCUUUUCUCAGGGACGCAGAAAGUGACGGUACCUGAGGAAUAAGCCACGGCUAACUAGGUGCCAGCAGCCGCGGUAAUACGUAGGUGGCAAGCGUUAUCCGGAUUUACUGGGUGUAAAGGGCGUGUAGGCGGGACUGCAAGUCAGAUGUGAAAACCACGGGCUCAACCUGUGGCCUGCAUUGGAUACUGUAGUGCUUGAGUACUGGGGAGGCAGAAGGAAUUCCUGGUGUAGCGGUGAAAUGCGUAGAUAUUAGGAGGAACACCAGUGGCGAAGGCAGUCUGCUGGACAGCAACUGAUGCUGAGGCGCGAAAGCGUGGGGAGCAAACAGGAUUAGAUACCCCUGUAGUC
rnacentral:rRNA from 1 species